GCUCAGGACGAACGCUGGCGGCGUGCUUAACACAUGCAAGUCGAACGAUGAAGCCUGCAACUUGUUGUGGGUGGAUUAGUGGCGAACGGGUGAGUAAUACGUGGGUAACCUGCCCUCCUUUUUGGGAUAAGCCUUGGAAACGGGGUCUAAUACCGAAUAUUCUGGCGCUCUCGCAUGGGGGUGUUGGGAAAGCUUUUGUGUGAAGGGGGAUGGGCUCGCGGCCUAUCAGCUUGUUGGUGGGGUGAUGGCCUACCAAGGCGGUGACGGGUAGCCGGCCUGAGAGGGUGACCGGCCACAUUGGGACUGAGAUACGGCCCAGACUCCUACGGGAGGCAGCAGUGGGGGAUAUUGCACAAUGGGCGAAAGCCUGAUGCAGCGACGCCGCGUGGGGGAUGAAGGCUUUCGGGUUGUAAACCUCUUUCGCUAUCGAACAAGGCUCA
rnacentral:rRNA from 1 species